rnacentral:lncRNA from 7 species
UUUGACAGUCACAUCUUUUGAAAUACGUGGUCUUAGCAAAAUCCAUUUGAAAUGAAGUCUCAGAGCUGACAAGCAGUGAUUUAUCACAGAACAGAACUGAAAGAGGACAUACAGAAUUUGCAGGUGACUGAAGACGGUCAAGUUAUUGGUCCCACUGCAGACAGAAGCACACAACUCUGCUGUCUAUGAAACAUCGGCAUGGUACUCUUGUAAUGGAGGAAGGAUUGACUGAUAUUAGAACAUCUAAGAUGACAGGUCCAGAGAAGGAUUUGCCAAAGGAAUCUGGUGGUAACCAGUCAGGCUCAUACAGGGAAAUGACACAUGGAAAUAAAGCAGCCCUCCCCUUCUUCCCUGUCUUCCCUCUAGAAGUGAAUUACCUAUGAACGACAUUCUUGGGGCUUCCCAGAAAGCUUAGAGGAGCACAGAGUCAUCAGCAGGACGUUACAGUAACAAAUGAUGUAGAGAACUCUGAGUCUGAUCAGUUCUAAUGGAGUCCCACAGUGGUGCAGCAGACACAGAGUACCCACAUCAGUUCUUCAUCAAGCAGAAUUUCUCCAAGAGCUUCAUGGCAGAGCCCCAAACCCACAGCCUUACAGGCUGGAACUGCUUCCAUCUUUUUCCUGUCUCUGAUUUCUGCAAUCAUUGUGUAUAGAUUGCCUAGACUGAAAAACAGCAAUGACAACAAAAAUCCCCCUUACUAACAACAAUAACCCCCUAUCCUCCUGUGAGUAAGGGAGGUUGGGGAACAGAGAUAACAAUCAGCCAGGCUGUGUCCUGGAGCUCCCUGCUGCAGGGACACAUCCACAUAAAGUUGCUGUUGC